GGUGCCAUGGCCGCCGGCUCGGCGGGCGCGCUGGCGCGGGCGGCGCUGGGUGAGGGCCGGGGGGCCCGGGCUGAGGGAGCGGGGGGCUCGGGCAGCCGGGGCUGCCUUUAGAUGGUGGUGGUGCAGCAGAUAAGAUACGUUUAAUACCUCAAGACUUUUUUGCUGAGCUGUGUGAACAAAUAAUUCAGCAUCUGAACCAUAAGAUCCCAGGUGUAAAUACAGCUGAAUUGUGUCGGAGAAUUCAAACUUCGGGGAUUGACAUUAAUAUUGGUGAUCUGGCAAAAGUAGCUAACACUCUUUCAUUUCUGUUUAGCACAGCAGCCAGAAACAACCUCUCUACAGAAGAACUCAUUGCCACCUUGGGCAGUGGCAUCAGCACACUGCCAAAACAUGCACUUCAAGUUAUUCGUCACGUGUGGAACGAGCAGGGUAAAGCCAUUGCUGUGUCAGAAGAUGCAAGGAAUACGGCCACAGUGGGGCAGUUUGUAGAUAUGAAAUGGAAACUGGGAGUUGCAAUGAGCUCUGACACCUGCAGGUCUCUGAAGUACCCGUAUGUCACAGUGACACUAACAGUGGCAGACCCUUCAGGACAAAUAACAGACAAAUCUUUUGAAAUGACCAUCCCACAGUUCAAGAACUUCUUCAGACAGUUCAAGGAAAUGGCAUCUGUUCUUGAAACAGUUUGAAGGGAACUUUUAUUUCCAGUGACAUGUUGGAGGAAGAUCAAGUAAACUUUCCAUUCUGCAUAGGGAAUAAAGUGCCAGUGUUCAGCAAGGUAUGUAUCCUUGUCUUCUUGACAGGAGUUGGUCAGCAUCACCCUUGCAUUGCUGUGAAGAUUUCUUCGCUUUUGAUUAAUUGAAGUCAACUCUGCAGUGUUUGUGAAAACAUGUCCAGCUUUGCUCAUCCUGGUAGACAAAAGAUCAGGAUGUAUAUGGAGGAGCAUCUCUAUAGACUUCCUAAUACCACGAGAAAGAAACUACACACUAAAUUCUGUAGUGCAUAAAGAUACCUGAAAAUGUUGACUGGGAAGAUAUUGAGAGAAGUGUAAAUCCCAUGUUAAUAUUUUUAUUAGUAAAAUUAGGAUGGGCUUGGACACAACAGUAGUAUUACAUAUAAGGAGAAUAUGAAGUUACAAGCAUACAGCUACUCUUGAAGAAUAGCAUUGUUAGGUAGUUGAUUGCAGCUAUUUACAUAUCUGGCUUCAAGUCUUUUAAUAACUGGAGAAUGUACUUGUCCUAACAGCUUGUUUAUUUCAACUAUUUAUUUCCCACCACCUAGGCUUAUAAAGAUGGAAUUAAUGCAUUAAGUUUUUUCAGAGCCCCAAAAUUCUCUCAAAUGAAACCCAGAGGCUAAUUUUUUCAUAAAGGUAGAAAGGCAAAUAAAUUCAAAAAUGUUUUAAUGGGUUUCUGCUUUUUCAUUUCAUCCAUUGUUAAUCUGUGGCAUUCUGCUUGAUGUUUUGGUCAGCAGUCUUCUCUCUAAUUAAAUUAAAAUAUUGAUUUAGAUACCUCACUUCAACCUCUGAACUAGAAAAGUCAAGAGAAAACUUGAAAAUCCAGGCUGGAGAGGUAGCCAAGCACAUCAGAGAACGGACCACACUAAAAGAUUUCUUUGCAUGUUGCUUUGUAACAGGCAGACACUGGACUGUGUUCUGCAUACGUGCUCUAAUAAGGUGUCCUAACCAACAAAAUUUUGACUUUGAUGUUGAAGAAUGGGGCAUUUCUAAAAGGGAGUGAUUAAUCCAAUGUGCUUGCAUGCUUUCCUCAUAAUUUUUUUCCUUGAGUUUUCCAUAAAGCAAAACACACUGCAAAUAUUGUGGGAUGUAAAUAAAGCAAUACUCUUGCAUCUCCAGACAUGCUGAUGGUAGAGUAGAAUAAGUAACUCUGAAGAGAGAUAAUUCACACUGAUAAGCAGAUUGAAGUUUCUGCUUCAGCUUCAGGCUGGCAGUGACUGAGCACCAGCUUUGCUGGGACAGAUCCUCAAAUUAUUUCACUUAAAAUGCGAACAUCUACCUUUCUAACUCAAAUCUGUUUUUUAAAUUAACAUUUUUAAGAGCUGGCUGAAAGUCAUUGAUACAGGUUAUGCCUGCCUUUUUGUGCUAUGAAAAUAAACUGCAGCACAUUGUGUGUGCUACAUAUGCUACAAUCCUUUCAGGAAUGCCCCUAUUUUAAGCAUUACAUGUGAUGUGUAAAAACAGUUCUUGGACUCUAUUAGAAGCCCAAAUAAGUGAAACUGUGUUGGCUUUGACAAAAGUUUUUGGCCAGAUCCAUGGAUCUGGAUAAUACUUUGUUUAUGUUGGUUGAAAUCUGAGGUGUUUGCUUUGUGGCUGGGGAGAGGAGAUUGGUGUUCUCUGGGACCCUCCUGGUAUAGUGUCACCGAAUGCUCUUGGGAGCACACUUCCCAUUUGUCUCUUCCCUUGUCUGUGUGCAGGAGCUCAGGGCUGAAUGAUAGAGCAAAUGUGUAUGGAAAAGGGAUGUGAGCAGCUGAUUUGUUUUUUUUUUUACUUUGCAGAAGUGGGAGUGUAAGGCAGCUAUAACUGGAAAACAUUGUCAUGCUUUGGCCUCGUGAAUUGUUUUACAUCAAUAUAAGAGUUCCAGAAAAAAAUAAGGUUGUCUUUUUUUUUAGUAAAGCUGGAGCCUUACAAAUAACUUCCUAUGUGUUCCAAUGCACAUAAAUUCUUCAUAUAGCUGGAAAUACUUGUGCCUUCAUUGGAACUGCAUAGAAAAGAAGAUUUAAUUUAUCAUGUCUUAACAAUUCAGUAGAUGCUGGAAGGUAAUGAGGAAACUCCCAGUUAGCAUUUUUGCUUUCCCUGUCAGCAAGAGCAGAAAGUUGUCAGCCUUUGUAAAGACCUUUAUUUUGUCAAGUCAGAUAUUCUAGAAGUAUUGAUUAAUAUUUUUUUAAAUGUCCCUGAACUCCAGCAUGUUGUAAUUCUGGCUGGAAGAUGCUUGGACAUGUAUACUAUACUAAUUUACUGUCUUUAGAAUUUUCAGAGGAGGUAUGACUUAAAGUUGGCUAUGUAGUCAAACUUUUGAAAUGCGUCACUGUCAGCAGGAGUUCCUCUACUGAGUAAUGGAAGAAUUAAGUAUUUUAUUAAAAGGAAACCAAACAAAAAACAGUUUUAAGGGUAGCAAUACUAACAUGUCCAAACAAGCUGGUGAUUUGUUUGUCUAUAUGUGAAGAAACCAGAUCUUUUCAAAGAAAAUCAGGAGUCCUUAUGUGUUCCUAAUUGUUGAUUAAUAGAAAUUGUAUAACAUGAAUAUUUUUGUAAGUCCACAGUCAUUAAACAUGUAGGUAAUAAAGACAAAGCUGAUUUGUGUUUUGUUUUAAGCCUA